rnacentral:rRNA from 1 species
CGACGGCCACUUUAUCUUGGAUUCCUGGACUGAUACUGUCUGAGCGAUCAUGGCGCGUGCAAUACGUGGCACGUAGAACGCUGAAGGACUCUAGCUUGCUAAAGUUGGAAGAGUUGCGAACGGGUGGAGUAACGCGUAGGUAACCUGCCUACUAGCGGGGGGAUAACUUAUUGGAAACGAUAGCUAAUACCGGCGUAACAGCAUUUAACCCAUGUUAGAUGCUUGAAAGGAGCAAUUGCUUCACUAGUAGAUGGACCUGCGUUGUAUUAGCUAGUUGGUGAGGUAACGGCUCACCAAGGCGACGAUACAUAGCCGACCUGAGAGGGUGAUCGGGCCACACUGGGACUGAGACACGGUCCCAGACUCCUGCGGGAGGCUGCAGUAGGGAAUCUUCGGCAAUGGGGGCAACCCUGACCGAGCAACGCCGCGUGAGUGAAGAAGGUUUUCGGAUCGUAAAGCUCUGUUGUAAGAGAAGAACGUGUGUGAGAGUGGAAAGUUCACACAGUGACGGUAACUUACCAGAAAGGGACGGCUAACUACGUGCCAGCAGCCGCGGUAAUACGCAGGUCCCGAGCGUUGUCCGGAUUUAUUGGGCGUAAAGCGAGCGCAGGCGAUUUAAUAAGUCUGAAGUUAAAGGCAGUGGCUUAACCAUUGUUCGCUUUGGAAACUGUUAGACUUGAGUGCAGAAGGGGAGAGUGGAAUUCCAUGUGUAGCGGUGAAAUGCGUAGAUAUAUGGAGGAACACCGGUUGGCGAAAGCGGCUUCUCUGGUCUGUAACUGACGCUGAGGCUCGAAAGCGUGGGGGAGCAAACAGGAUUAGAUACCCUCGUAGUCCACGCCGUAAACGAUGAGUGCUAGGUGUUAGGCCCUUUCCGGGGCUUAGUGCCGCAGCUAACGCAUUAAGCACUCCGCCUGGGGAGCACGUCCGCAAGGUUUCAACUUCUACAGAAAGACGUACGGCCAGUCAUAACUGUUUACCUGCCUGU